GAAGAGGAGGAGGGGAGGGACGCGGGGUAUCUGGUGUACUUCCUAGGCACAGCUGGCGGUGACGUCUAUAAGCUUGUUCAUUGGACAGACAAGCAGGGCAAGCCAAUGGCAGAGGUGCUAGCAAAAUACAGCGUGAGCCCAGCUCCGAUUCGCCAGAUGGCGCUGUGGAAGGUAAGCCGUGCGCGUUCCUCUACUU